rnacentral:rRNA from 3 species
GAAUGCUGACAUAAGUAACGAUAAAGCGGGUGAAAAGCCCGCUCGCCGGAAGACCAAGGGUUCCUGUCCAACGUUAAUCGGGGCAGGGUGAGUCGACCCCUAAGGCGAGGCCGAAAGGCGUAGUCGAUGGGAAACGGGUUAAUAUUCCCGUACUUGGUGUUACUGCGAAGGGGGGACGGAGAAGGCUAUGUUGGCCGGGCGACGGUUGUCCCGGUUUAAGCGUGUAGGUGUGUGUUCCAGGUAAAUCCGGUUCACUUUAACACUGAGGCGUGACGACGAGGCACUACGGUGCUGAAGCAACAAAUGCCCUGCUUCCAGGAAAAGCCUCUAAGCAUCAGGUAACAUCAAAUCGUACCCCAAACCGACACAGGUGGUCAGGUAGAGAAUACCAAGGCGCUUGAGAGAACUCGGGUGAAGGAACUAGGCAAAAUGGUGCCGUAACUUCGGGAGAAGGCACGCUGACACGUAGGUGAAGUGAUUUACUCAUGGAGCUGAAGUCAGUCGAAGAUACCAGCUGGCUGCAACUGUUUAUUAAAAACACAGCACUGUGCAAACACGAAAGUGGACGUAUACGGUGUGACGCCUGCCCGGUGCCGGAAGGUUAAUUGAUGGGGUCAGCGCAAGCGAAGCUCCUGAUCGAAGCCCCGGUAAACGGCGGCCGUAACUAUAACGGUCCUAAGGUAGCGAAAUUCCUUGUCGGGUAAGUUCCGACCUGCACGAAUGGCGUAAUGAUGGCCAGGCUGUCUCCACCCGAGACUCAGUGAAAUUGAACUCGCUGUGAAGAUGCAGUGUACCCGCGGCAAGACGGAAAGACCCCGUGAACCUUUACUAUAGCUUGACACUGAACAUUGAGCCUUGAUGUGUAGGAUAGGUGGGAGGCUUUGAAGUGUGGACGCCAGUCUGCAUGGAGCCGACCUUGAAAUACCACCCUUUAAUGUUUGAUGUUCUAACGUGGACCCGUUACCCGGGUUGCGGACAGUGUCUGGUGGGUAGUUUGACUGGGGCGGUCUCCUCCUAAAGAGUAACGGAGGAGCACGAAGGUUGGCUAAUCCUGGUCGGACAUCAGGAGGUUAGUGCAAUGGCAUAAGCCAGCUUGACUGCGAGCGUGACGGCGCGAGCAGGUGCGAAAGCAGGUCAUAGUGAUCCGGUGGUUCUGAAUGGAAGGGCCAUCGCUCAACGGAUAAAAGGUACUCCGGGGAUAACAGGCUGAUACCGCCCAAGAGUUCAUAUCGACGGCGGUGUUUGGCACCUCGAUGUCGGCUCAUCACAUCCUGGGGCUGAAGUAGGUCCCAAGGGUAUGGCUGUUCGCCAUUUAAAGUGGUACGCGAGCUGGGUUUAGAACGUCGUGA